rnacentral:rRNA from 1 species
GAGGCGGGGCGGCGGCUACACAUGCAGUCGAGCGGAACGAUACCAGCUUGCUGGUAGGCGUCGAGCGGCGGACGGGUGAGUAAUACUUAGGAAUCUACCUAGUAGUGGGGGAUAGCUCGGGGAAACUCGAAUUAAUACCGCAUACGACCUACGGGAGAAAGGGGGCAGUUUACUGCUCUCGCUAUUAGACGAGCCUAAGUCGGAUUAGCUAGAUGGUGGGGUAAAGGCCUACCAUGGCGACGAUCUGUAGCUGGUCUGAGAGGAUGAUCAGCCACACCGGGACUGAGACACGGCCCGGACUCCUACGGGAGGCAGCAGUGGGGAAUAUUGGACAAUGGGGGAAACCCUGAUCCAGCCAUGCCGCGUGUGUGAAGAAGGCCUUUUGGUUGUAAAGCACUUUAAGCAGUGAAGAAGACUCCUCGGUUAAUACCCGUGGACGAUGACAUUAGCUGCAGAAUAAGCACCGGCUAACUCUGUGCCAGCAGCCGCGGUAAUACAGAGGGUGCAAGCGUUAAUCGGAAUUACUGGGCGUAAAGCGAGCGUAGGUGGCUUGAUAAGUCAGAUGUGAAAUCCCCGGGCUUAACCUGGGAACUGCAUCUGAAACUGUUAGGCUAGAGUAGGUGAGAGGAAGGUAGAAUUCCAGGUGUAGCGGUGAAAUGCGUAGAGAUCUGGAGGAAUACCGAUGGCGAAGGCAGCCUUCUGGCAUCAUACUGACACUGAGGCUCGAAAGCGGGGGUAGCAAACAGGAUUAGAUACCCUGGUAGUCCACGCCGUAAACGAUGUCUACUAGUCGUUGGGUCCCUUGAGGACUUAGUGACGCAGCUAACGCAAUAAGUAGACCGCCUGGGGAGUACGGCCGCAAGGUUAAAACUCAAAUGAAUUUGACGGGGGCCCGCACAAGCGGUGAGCAUGUGGUUUAAUUCGAUGCAACGCGAGACCUUACCUGGUCUGACAUAUCUAGAAUUCUGCAGAGAUGCGGAGUGCCUUCGGGAAUUAGAUACAGGUGCUGCAUGGCUGUCGUCAGCUCGUGU